rnacentral:piRNA from 1 species
UGACAGUUUCAUGUUUGCUCACACUUACC